GAUCAUGGCUCAGGAUGGACGCUAGCUACAGGCUUAACACAUGCAAGUCGAGGGGCAGCAUUUCAGUUUGCUUGCAAACUGGAGAUGGCGACCGGCGCACGGGUGAGUAACACGUAUCCAACCUGCCGAGUAACUCGGGGAUAGCCUUUCGAAAGAAAGAUUAAUACCCGAUGGUAUAAUCAGACCGCAUGGUCUUGUUAUUAAAGAAAUUUACGGUUAUCGAUGGGGAUGCGUUCCAUUAGG
rnacentral:rRNA from 1 species